GCUGGAAUUACCUGCCUGGGAGACAUACUUCUUUAUAAUCCCAUAUGGACCUGCUAAGCUAUGGAAUGUAAAGAAGUAUGUAUCUCAGGCCAGGGUGCUCUCCCGG
rnacentral:miRNA from 1 species